rnacentral:rRNA from 1 species
AUUGAACGCUGGCGGCAGGCCUAACACAUGCAAGUCGAGCGGAUGAAGGGAGCUUGCUCCUGGAUUCAGCGGCGGACGGGUGAGUAAUGCCUAGGAAUCUGCCUGGUUGUGGGGGAUAACGUCCGGAAACGGGCGCUAAUACCGCAUACGUCCUGAGGGAGAAAGUGGGGGAUCUUCGGACCUCACGCUAUCAGAUGAGCCUAGGUCGGAUUAGCUAGUUGGUGGGGUAAAGGCCUACCAAGGCGACGAUCCGUAACUGGUCUGAGAGGAUGAUCAGUCACACUGGAACUGAGACACGGUCCAGACUCCUACGGGAGGCAGCAGUGGGGAAUAUUGGACAAUGGGCGAAAGCCUGAUCCAGCCAUGCCGCGUGUGUGAAGAAGGUCUUCGGAUUGUAAAGCACUUUAAGUUGGGAGGAAGGGCAGUAAGUUAAUACCUUGCUGUUUUGACGUUACCAACAGAAUAAGCACCGGCUAACUUCGUG